UUCCCACACAGGACCUCUAAUUACUACUGCGUUCUUAUGAGGAGUGCCUUGUGCUUUGCAGCAUCUAACGUCUUGGUAGUGACCUGCCAGUGCCUGUCCAACCUGUCAGCAGAUCACGGUCGCGAACCCUGGGAGAGAGCUGACAACACGUUUCCCGUGUGAGACUCUGUGUCUCCCGAGAAGCAGACACCAAGACAGGAUGAGAGAUGCACAGAUUUUAUUGGGAAAAACACCUGCAGGAGAAAACGUGUGAGCACUGGCGGCGGCUGGGAGCCCAGGCUGCAGUGGGGUCUGAGCCUGCAGGAGUGGGGGUGCGUCCU
rnacentral:lncRNA from 10 species